UGGUUUCUCCCUUCUGACGAACCAUGAUGUCAUUUAUUUGGUGUUGUGGGGAAUCAGGACUGUUACUUUGAAAAAAUUAGAGUGUUUAAAGCAGGCUCACGCUUGAAUACAUUAGCAUGGAAUAAUGAAAUAGGACGUUUGAUUCUAUUUUGUUGGUUUCUAGGAUCGACGUAAUGAUUAAUAGGGAUAGUUGGGGGCAUUAGUAUUCAAUUGUCAGAGGUGAAGUUCUUGGAUUUAUUGAAGACUAACUACUGCGAAAGCAUUUGCCAAGGAUGUUUUCAUUAAUCAAGAACGAAAGUUAGGGGAUCGAAGACGAUCAGAUACCGUCGUAGUCUUAACCAUAAACUAUGCCGACUAGGGAUCGGAUGAUGUUAAUUUUUUAAUGACUCAUCCGGCGCCUUACG
rnacentral:rRNA from 1 species